UAAUCCCCCCAUGCCCGAAACC
rnacentral:snRNA from 1 species